GCAGUUGAGCGGAGAUAUAUGGAGCUUGCUUUAUAUAACUUAGCAGCGAACGGGUGAGUAACACGUAGAUAAUCUAUCCUAUACUGGGGGAUAGCCCGAUGAAAGUUGGAUUAAUACCGCAUAUAGCUAUAUAGUUGCAUGAUUAUGUAGUGAAAGAUUUAUUGGUAUAGGAGGAGUCUGCGGCACAUUAGCUAGUAGGUGAGGUAAAGGCUUACCUAGGCGACGAUGUGUAGCCGGUCUGAGAGGAUGAACGGCCACAAUGGAACUGAGACACGGUCCAUACUCCUACGGGAGGCAGCAGUGGGGAAUAUUGCACAAUGGGGGAAACCCUGAUGCAGCAACGCCGCGUGAGUGAAGAAGGUUUUCGGAUUGUAAAGCUCUGUUAGCAGGGAAGAGGAAGGACGGUACCUGCAGAGGAAGCCACGGCUAACUACGUGCCAGCAGCCGCGGUAAUACGUAGGUGGCAAGCGUUGUUCGGAAUAACUGGGCGUAAAGGAUGCGUAGGCGGUUAAACAAGUUAUAUGUUAAAUAUAUAGGCUUAACCUGUAGAAAGCAUAUAAAACUGUUUAACUAGAGUGCAGGAGAGGUAAGUGGAAUUCCUAGUGUAGCGGUGAAAUGCGUAGAGAUUAGGAAGAACACCAGUGGCGAAGGCGACUUACUGGACUGUAACUGACGCUGAGGCAUGAGAGCAUGGGGAGCAAACAGGAUUAGAUACCCUGGUAGUCCAUGCUGUAAACGAUGGGUA
rnacentral:rRNA from 1 species